UACGGGGGGUCCGAGCGUUAAUCGGAAUCACUGGGCUUAAAGGGUCCGCAGGCGGAUUGGCAAGUAUCUUGUGAAAUACCACGGCUCAACCGUGGAACUGCUGGGUAAACUGCCAAUCUUGAACACGACAGGGGCUACCAGAACUCUAGGUGGAGCGGUGAAAUGCGUAGAUAUCUAGAGGAAUGCCAGAGGCGAAGGCGGGUAGCUGGGUCGUUGUUGACGCUCAGGGACGAAAGCGUGGGGAUCAAAC
rnacentral:rRNA from 1 species